AUACGUAGGGGGCGAGCGUUGUCCGGAAUUACUGGGCGUAAAGGGUGCGUAGGCGGCGAUGCAAGUCCAUUGUGAAAAGCCCGGGCUUAACCUGGGAGGUGCAGUGGAAACUGCAUGGCUUGAGUGCAGGAGAGGAAAGUGGAAUUCCUAGUGUAGCGGUGAAAUGCGUAGAUAUUAGGAGGAACACCAGUGGCGAAGGCGGCUUUCUGGAGUGUAACUGACGCUGAGGCACGAAAGCGUGGGGAGCAAACAGGAUUAGAUACCCUGGUAGUCCACGCCGUAAACGAUGGAUACUAGGUGUAGGGGGUAUCGACCCCCCCUGUGCCGAAGUUAACACAUUAAGUAUCCCGCCUGGGGAGUACGGCCGCAAGGUUGAA
rnacentral:rRNA from 1 species